CCUACGGGAGGCUGCAGUGGGGAAUAUUGGACAAUGGGCGAAAGCCUGAUCCAGCCAUGCCGCGUGUGUGAAGAAGGCCUUCGGGUUGUAAAGCACUUUCAGUGGGGAAGAAAGCCUUGGGGCUAAUACCCUCGAGGAAGGACAUCACCCACAGAAGAAGCACCGGCUAACUCCGUGCCAGCAGCCGCGGUAAUACGGAGGGUGCGAGCGUUAAUCGGAAUUACUGGGCGUAAAGCGCGCGUAGGCGGUCUGAUAAGCCGGUUGUGAAAGCCCCGGGCUCAACCUGGGAACGGCAUCCAGAACUGUCAGGCUAGAGUGCAGGAGAGGAAGGUAGAAUUCCCGGUGUAGCGGUGAAAUGCGUAGAGAUCGGGAGGAAUACCAGUGGCGAAGGCGGCCUUCUGGACUGACACUGACGCUGAGGUGCGAAAGCGUGGGUAGCAAACAGGAUUAGAUACCCGUGUAGUC
rnacentral:rRNA from 1 species